rnacentral:lncRNA from 1 species
AACAGAGAAAGACUCUGUCUCACAAUGAAACAAAACAAAAAAGAAAUACAGUGGUAAACAAAACAGACAAAAUGCCUGCUCUAAUUACCUUGUACAGAACUGUACAGUCUACUGCAGGAGAAAGACAAUAGAGAAAACAAGUAAGUCAAGUAUGAGAUAGGUUAAUGUGCCAAGAACCAGAGAAAAACAAAGCAGGUAAGAGGGAUGGAUGCAAUUUUCAACAGCCUCAGCAGGGAUGGCUUCUCUAGACAGUAACAUCUGAGCAUGAGACUUUCUGGGGAAGAGUAUUCCAGAAGGAAGACCAGAGCAAAGGCACUGAGGAAUGAACAUGACUAUUGUGCUCCAGGAACCACUGAUUGGCAGGGGUUCUGGGAUGGGAGAGGUAUAGGAGAUGAUGUCAAAGAGGUGAGCUAUGUGCCUGGUGGAAGGGCCAGUAGUGUAGGGUCCUGUAGGUAGCAGUAAGGACUUCAGCUAAUACUGUGAAAGGGCUGAGAGGCCAUUGGAAGACUCUGAGCUGAGACUCAUUCUCGCCGAUGUCUGAAGAUGGACUGUGGAGGGAUGAGAGUGAAAGCCAGAAGACCUAUGAAAGGGCUGAGUUGUAUCCUCUCAAAAUUCCUGUGUUGAAGCCCUAACCUCCAGUACCUCAACAUGUGACCAUAUUUGGAGAUAGGGUCCUUAAAGAGGAAGUUGAGUUAAAAUUAGGCCAUUAGGAUGGGCCGUAAUUCUAUAUGAUGGUGUCUCUAUAGGAAAAGAAAACCAAGAUCCAAAUAUGUAUAUAACAGAGGGAAGGCCACGUGGAGACACAGGGAGAAGACAGCCAUCCAUGAGCCGAGAAGAGACCUGAGAAGAAACCACCCAGCUGACACCUUGAUCUUGGACUUCCAGCCUCCAGAGUUGUAAGGCCAUGGAGAUACAUCUAUGAACAAAGAAGACAGAAAAUCCUACCAGAAUUGACUGAAAAGUUGAGUGAGGGGCAGGAAAGAAAAAGAGGUGGCAAAGGUAGCAACAACUAUGUUCUGCUCCGGAAAGCAUAAGCCACAGCCCCCACCACAGUGCUUGGCAAUGCGGUUGCUGUUUAAUACCUGCUGACUGAGUGGAAGGAAGACAAAACAAUUACCUGACUCAAAGAGAAGCAAAAGAAUGCUGCCUUCAAGCUGAGGGGAAGACUGAACUGUCCGUUUCUUUCUGCUCUAAAGUGUCCUCUGGAGAGGACGCUGGCGGAGCUGGUGCUCUCGUGGUGGCAGGCCACCACCCUGUGGAGGUGUCCAUGCAUUGCAAGUGCUCGCAAGCUCCAGGAACAAACGCAUCCGCGCAGCCGUCUGGGGUUUGUCCCGUCGCUGCCAGCCCUCUCGCUGAGUCCCCGCCCUCGCCGAUAAGAGCCCACUUAGGACCCCCAUUACAUGGAUGGCUUCCCAGGACCUGCCCUUAAAGACUCCGAUUUAGUAGGUUGGAAAUGACGCAAUUAUUUUUAUUUUUAAUUAGUACCCCAAGUCAUUCUUUACCAUCAAGGAAGUUUGGGAAACAGAUCACUUUUGUUUCAAUCA